GCACUGGAGCAGAACAAGCUCUUCAUCUUGGAUCAUCAUGAUGCAUACAUCCCCUACCUCAACCGCAUCAACGCUCUCGCCGUCAAAGUAUAUGCCUCCAGAACUCUGUUGUUCCUGAGGCAGGACUCCACGCUAAAGCCAUUGGCGAUCGAGCUCAGCUUGCCUCACCCGGACGGAGAGCAGCAUGGCGCCGUCAGCAAGGUGUACACACCGGCUGAAAGCGGCGUGGAAGGAUCGAUCUGGCAGCUGGCGAAGGCCUACGCCGCCGUCACCGACUCCGGCUACCAUGGCCUCAUCAGCCACUGGUGCUUACAGAAUCGCAGCAUGCUCUGUUCUGAGUCUCUGUUGUUGUUCGUCCGCCUGAUCACCAUUCUUUUACCUCGAUCGCAGGCUCAACACACACGCGGUGAUGGAGCCAUUCGUGAUCGCGACGCACAGACACCUGAGCGUGAUCCACCCGAUCCACAAGCUUCUGUCGCCGCACUACCGCGACACGAUGACCAUCAACGCCUUGGCACGGCAGACCCUCAUCCCCGCCGGCGGCAUAUUCGAGUUGACGGUCUUCCCAGGGAGGUACGCGUUGGAGUUGUCUUCCACGGUCUACAAGAGUUGGAAUUUCCGGGAGCAGGCUCUCCCCGCUGAUCUGAUCAAGAGGUACGAAUCCUCGAAUCGUGUCUCACGAGGAGCUCUACUCUGUGCAUGACCCAAAGAUUCAUCUCUGUGCAGAGGAGUUGCGGUGAAGGACCGAGACGACAAGCUCUGCCUACUGAUCGAGGAUUACCCUUAUGCCGUGGACGGACUUCAGAUAUGGCAUGCGAUCGAGACAUGGGUCGGAGAGUACUGUGCAAUCUACUACCCGACGAACGACGUCGUGAAAGCUGACGCCGAGCUACAGGCCUGGUGGAAGGAGGUCCGCGAGGUCGGCCAUGGCGACAAAAAGGACGAGCCCUGGUGGCCAGCCAUGCUCACAACAUCCGAGCUAAUCGAGGCAUGCACCACCAUAAUCUGGAUCGGUUCUGCGCUCCACGCCGCCAUCAACUUCGGGCAGUAUCCCUACGCCGGGUACCUGCCGAACCGGCCAACCAUGAGCCGGCGCUUCAUGCCGGAGCCGGGCACGCCGGAGUACGAGGAGCUGAAGAAGAACCCGGACAAGGUGUUCCUGAAGACCAUCACCAGCCAGUUGCUCACGGUGCUGGGUCUCUCCACCAUCGAGAUCCUGUCGAACCAUGCGUCCGACGAGGUGUACCUGGGACAACGGGACACGCCGGAAUGGACGUCGGAUGAGACGGCGGUGAAGGCGUUCGAGGGCUUCGGGGAGCGACUCAAGGCAAUCGAGGCGGAGAUCAUGAAGAGGAACGGCGACCCGAGCUUGAAGAACCGCAAUGGCCCGGCCAAGAUGCCUUACACCUUGCUCUUCCCGAGCAGUGGGGUUGGGAUCACCGGCAGGGGAAUCCCCAACAGUAUCUCCAUCUAAGUCGCCUGUCGAAGACUGGAGUAGCCACGAAUAUUGUACCGAAUAAUUAAUUACUCAAAUCGCACAAUUAAAUCUGUGAUUGAUCUUUAAAUUAUAAAUUGAUUGAGGAUAUAAAAUAUGUAAAAAAUGAAAAGUUAUCAUUCCAUAUUUACCUCUUUCAAGAUUUUCUUUAAUUCGAUUUCUUCAACAAUUAAAUCCGUGCUAUUACAGAAAUAUGGAUAUAGCCAACAAGUAAAAAGUGUGAAAUUACACAAAUUUAUCUACGUUAUGUAAGGUAUUCUGGUGACUCAUAUUCUAAGAUUCUAAGAUUCUAAGAUUCUAUCCACUUAAUAGGAGAUAAACAAGUAUUAUCCUUGAAUAUUUAGUAUCAUGAUAGAGAUAAAUUCUAAGAUUCUAUCCACUUAAUAGGAGAUAAACAAGUAUUAUCCUUGAAUAUUUAGUAUUUGGUGUAAACGUAGUUUCAUUCCUUUCUAUAGUAUAGGCAGUGUAUUGGAAAGCCACACAUUUACUUUCAUGUGUUCCCUACAAAAGUGUCCCUUUGCUCGAACGAACAUACCUCAACCAUCUCUUUCAGUAUAUUAAAGUAAUAAUAAAUUAAUUUAUAAAAAAUUCAUAAUAAUGAGUCUUUAUCAUAUGACUUCAAUUCUAUCGUUCACUUCUCUUCCCACUUUAUGACCAUCAUCCCUGUUGGGAAAAAUCAUGUAAAAACGAAAUAUUUUUUCCCUAUCAAAAUGGGUUCCUCAUCAAAAUACCAACUUGAUAUCUAAAUGAAAAUAUCAACUAGCACAGCAUAAACAAUAGAGCAAAAAUCAACCACACAGUGAGACUAAAUCUUUUUAACGUGAAAAACCUAAUGUGGGAAAAAAACCACGGGAUCGUAGUCCACCUCAAACUUCCACUAUCAAUAAUAAUGAUAACAGGUUUACGGUAGGUCUUCUCUAGAAUAACUAGAGGAUCAGAAUAACAUCAAAAACAUAGAUCUUGGCUCUAGCAUAUAGUUGGAUCUCCUCAAAAGAGAAUUCUAGGUCUCACAGAGUGGAUAUCACAGGAAAGUACCUUAGAGAGGGUAAACUGCAGAUCAACACCGUUAGGAUUGUAGAGUUUGCUGCAAGGAUUCUUCACAUAAAAUUUGGGCCAAAACUGACAACGUUUGGCCACCGAUCGUCAAGCAAAAAACUUAAAAACCUAACUUUCUCUCUCCUCUUUCCUCUGCACGUCGCCGCACGCUGCACGCGUUCACUGCAUGCACACACACACUGUCAUCACCCAAUUUUGCCCUUUCUCUCUUGAUUUCUUUGAUUUGGGCUCAUGACCCAAAUUUAUCCAAGCCCACAUAUGGGCUGGACCCAACAAUUCUCCCCCUCCAGCUCAUAUGGUGGGCUGUACCAAGCCCGCUCUUCGCCUACAUGCUUCAAGCUUCUCCUUAGGCAAAGACUUUGUCAACAUAUCUGAACCAUUCUCAUUGGUAUGCACUUUUUCCAACUGUAAUUCUUUUAUCUCAAGCACAUCACGAAUCUAGUGAUAUCUCACAUCAAUAUGCUUGGAUCUAGAAUGGUAUGUUGAAUUCUUGGAGAGGUGAAUGACGCUCUGACUGUCACAGUAAACAGUAUAUCCUUCCUGUUUCAAGCCCAAUUCCUGUAGAAACUUUUUUAUCCAUAAAGCUUCCUUACAUGCUUCAGUAAUUGCUAUAUAUUCUGCUUCUGUGGUUGAUAGAGCAACACACUUCUGUAACUUAGACUGCCAAGAGACUGCUCCUCCUGCAAAUGUCAUCAAGAAUCCCGAAGUGGACUUCCUAGAAUCAGUAUCACCUGCCAUGUUUGCAUCUGUGUAACAUUCUAACACGGGUUCAUCACUGUCAAAACAUAAACACAACCUGGAAGUACCUCUUAGAUAUCUUAAUAUCCAUUUCACUGCUGCCCAAUGUUCCUUUCCAGGAUUUGAGAGAAAUCGGCUAACAACUCCAACUGCAUGAGCUAUAUCUGGCCUAGUACAAACCAUCGCAUACAUCAAACUACCUACUGCAGAUGAGUAAGGCACUCUGGACAUUUCUUCUUUUUCUUUCUCACUUGUAGGACAUUGUUUCGAACUAAGCUUGAAAUGACCUGCAAGUGGGGAACAAACUGCCUUGGCUUUACUCAUGUUGAAUCUUUCAAGAACCUUUUCAAUAUAAGUCUCCUGAGAUAGCCAAAUCUUCUUUUUCUUCCUAUCACGAAGAAUCUUCAUGCCAAGUAUUUGUUUCACCGAUCCCAAGUCUUUCAUGGCAAAAGACUUACUUAGCUCUCUUUUAAGCUUUCCAAUUUUUCCAACAUCAUGGCCAACAAUCAGCAUAUCAUCAACAUAUAGCAGUAAAAUAAUAAAAUCAUCAUCUGAAAAUUUCUUCAUAAACAUACAAUGAUCAGAUGUGGUUCUAUCAUACCCUUGGCUCAUCAUAAAGGAAUCAAACUUCUUAUACCAUUGUCUAGGUGCAUGUUUGAGUCCAUAUAAACUUUUCCUAAACUUACAUACCAGAUUUUCUUUUCCCUUGACUUUGAAACCUUCUGGUUGCUCCAUGUAAGUUUCUUCUUCUAAGUCACCAUGAAGAAAUGUUGUUUUCACAUCAAGUUGCUCGACUUCUAAAUUCAAGCGGGCAGCCAAACCAAGAACAACUCGGAUAGAGGACAUUUUCACAACCGGAGAAAAUAUUUCUUCAAAGUCAAUACCUUUCUUCUAACUGAAUCCUUUCACAACUAGUCGUGCCUUGUAUCUCUGUUGUGAGCUAUUGCUUUCUUCUCUUUAGGCAACUUUACCAAGUCAUAAGUGUGGUUCUCAAGCAAGGAUCUCAUCUCUUCUUGCACGGCUUUAACCCACUCACUCUUAUUCUCAUGUAGAAUAGCUUCUUGGUAAGUUUCUGGCUCUCCCCCGUCAGUAAGCAUAACAUACUCAUGUGGAGGAUAUCUGAUAGAUGGUUGUCGCUCUCUAGUGGAUCUUCUCAAUGGAAUCUCAACUGGUGGUGGAGGUAGCUGUUCAGUUGGUUCAGCAUCAUCAAUGUAGGUGUAUCAUCACUGGUAUUUUCAUCACAAUCUUCUUGUUUAUCUCCCCCAUGAUCAUCAUGAACUACAGGUGAAGGAACUGGACCCACACUCCAAGGAAUAUAAACAGAGGUUUCUGGCUUCUCAACAUGAUCACCAUCAUCAAACAAUUGGUCUUCAAGAAACACGACAUCUCUGCUUCUAAUAAUCUUCUUGUUCAUUGGAUCCCAUAAUCUGUACCCAAACUCUUCAUGACCAUAUCCCAAGAAGAUACAUGCUUUUGCUUUACUAUCAAGCUUGGACUUUUCAUCUUUGGGAAUAUGAACAAAUGCUUUACACCCAAAGACCCUCAAAUGAUUAUAAGAUAUAUAUUUUCCUCUCCAUACUCUCUCUGGAACAUCACCUUGCAGAGGAACUGAUGGAGAAAGAUUUAUCAGGUCAACUGUAGUUCUCAUAGCCUCCCCCAAAAUGACUUUGGUAACUUGGCGUGAGAAAGCAUACACCUAAUCCUUUCUUCAAUGGUUCUGUUCAUCCUUUCUGCCACACCGUUCUACUGAGGAGUUUUAGGAACUGUUUUCUCAAGCCUGAUACCAUGGAACCUACAAUAAUUCUCAAAAGGACCCCUGUACUCGCCACCAUUAUAUGAUCGAAUACACUUUAGUUUUCUGCCAGUUUCUCUUUCAACACUGACAUGAAACUCCUUGAAAGCAUCAAGUACCUGGUCUUUAGAUUUUAAAGCAAAAGCCCACACUUUUCUAGAAUGGUCAUCAAUAAAAGUAACAAAAUAAAGAGCACCUCCAAGAGUUCUAGUUUGCAUAGUACAAACAUCAGUAUAAACUAAAUCAAUAACAUCUGAUCUUCUAGAUGAUGGAUAUGUCUGAAAUGCAACUCUAUGUGUUUUUCCAGCUAAGCAAUGAUCACAAGAUUUAAGAGAUGUACCUUGCAACUCUGGUAAGAACUGUUUUCUAACAAAAGUUUGAAGUCCCUUCUCGCUGAUAUGACUAAGCCUCUUAUGCCAAAGAUCUAUACUUUCACCUUUUCGAAUUGCAUUAAUCUCUCCUUUGUGUAGCUUAGCUUCCAUGACAUAAAAAGAGUUAAUCUUCUUUCCUUUUGCCAUAAUCAGAGAACCUUUAGUGAGUUUCCAUUUGCUUUCACCAAAAUAAUGUGCAAAGCCCUCAUCAUCAAGUUUGCCUAUAGAUAUCAAGUUAAGACGAAUAUCUGGAACAUGCCUUACAUCUUUGAGUAUCAAUUUGCUCCCAAUACUGGUCUCCAAGCAAAUAUCUCCAAUACCCACAAUCUUAGAUGUACCACUGUUUCCCAUUCUGACAUUACCAAAUUUACCAGCAGUGUAAGAUCUAAAGAAAUCACCAUGAGAAGUGACAUAAAAUGAAGCACCAGAGUCAAUUACCCAAUUACUGUCCUGAGCUACAAGGCUAACACAACCUUCAUCACAAAUAAUAGUGAUAUUACCUUCAGCAGUAAUUGUAUUGGUCUCUUUCUCAUUUUUCUUCGUUUCAUUAUGUUCUCGCUUCCAAAACCUACACUCUUUCUUCAUGUGACCUGACUUAUUACAGUGAAAACAUUUGAUAUCUCUUCUAGACUUAGAUCUUCCUCUAUAUCUAUAUGGAUUUCUGCUAUGACUUCUUCCACGUCUUUCUUGUUUUUCAAUAACAAAUGCCCUAGAAGAAGAUUCACCCUGUUCUUUCCUUCUGGCAUCUUCAUUUAGCAAACUGUCUUUAACCAUAUCUAUAGUUAGAGUUCCCUCUGGCGCGGAGUUGUAAAUAGUCAUCACAUACGUUUCCCAACUUUCUGAUAAAGAGCUGAGAAGUAAUAAUCCCUGCAUCUCAUCAUCUAUAUUCAUUUUCAUAGCAAUCAACUUGUUUGCAAAACUCUGAAAUAGGUUUAUGUGCUCAACAAUGUUAUCACCAUCUUUAUACUUCAAAUUUAUAAGCCUUAUGAGGAGAGAAAUUCUAUUUCCCACUAUCUUUUUCGCAAAGAGAUUUUCUAACCUUUGCCAAACAACAUCAGCUCUGGUUUCAUCUGAAAUAUGCUCAUGCAAGUUUAUAUUCAUCCAUCUUCUAAUAUAGGCAAUGACUUUUCUAUGUUGAACUUCUCAUUCUUCAUCGUCCAUAGUAGAAGGUUUAUCUUUAACCCUGAUAGGCUUAUACAAAUCUUUGCAAUAGAGCAAAUCUUCUAUCAGACGCCUCCAAGUGGAAUAAUUUGAGAGUUCAAUUUAAUCAUACCAUCAGACUUCAUUUCAAUCACACAAGAAAAACUAGCACCAAAUAACCUGUUGCUCUGAUACCACUUGUUGGGAAAAACCUUGUUAAAGCGGAAUAUUUUUUCCCUCUUUGUGUAUCAAAAUGGGUUCCUCAUCAAAAUACCAAUUUGAUAUCCAAAUGAAAAUAUCAACCAGCACAGCAUAAACAAUAGAGCAAAAAUCAACCACACAGUGAGACCAAAUCUUUUUAACGUGGAAAACCCAAUGUGGGAAAAAAACCACGGGACCGUAGUCCACCUCAAACUUCCACUAUCAAUAAUAAUGAUAACAGGUUUACAGUAGGUCUUCUCUAGAAUAACUAGAGGAUCAGAAUAACAUCAAGAACAUAGAUCUUAGCUCUAGCAUAUAGUUGGAUCUCCUCAAAAAGAAUUCUAAGUCUCAUAGAAUGAAUAUCAUAGGAAAGUACCUUAGAGAGGGUAAACUGCAGAUCAACACCAUUAGGAUUGUAGAGUUUGCUGCAAGGAUUCUUCACAUAAAAUUUGGGCCAAAACUGACAACGUUUGACUACCGAUCGUCAAACAAAAAACUUAAAAAUCUAACUUUCUCUCUAUAUUUCUCUCUCCUCUUCCCUCUGCCGCCGCAUGCUGCACGCGUUCACUGCACGCACACACACUGCCAUCACUCAAUUUUGCCUUUUCUCUCUUGAUUUCUUUGAUUUGAGCUCAUGGCCCAAAUUUGUCCAAACCCACGUAUGGGUGGACCCAACAAUCCCCCCUCUUCCCUCUAUCCAAAGACAUCUUUCUCUUCACUCUCUCUCUUGGCUCUCUCCUUCUCAACUUGCUUUAUCUCUUGCCCCACCUUUGUAGAGGAGGAGAAAGCGAAUAAAAAUAGGGAGGAUGUGAUGAUAGAGUAAGUGGAGAUAAAGCGGGAGGACGAGCAAGCCAAUGGAAACGAUUCACUAUCAAAAAAAUCAAUUUAAUUCUACAAUAUCUAAUCAAACUUAAUCAAAAGAUGAUCAUUAUCAUUUUAUGAGUUUAUUAAAAAUAUUUUGAUUAAAAAAUCUCUUGAUAAAAAUUAACUAUGAGCGCAUCAUUCCGUAAAAGUUCAUUAUUUAAAAGUAUUUUUCAGUAAAUUACUCUUUUAUCUUAUAUGUGUAUAUAUAAAAGUUUCUUCAUUUCAUAACUUAUAUCCAUAAAAUGAUCAGAAACGUUUUAAGCUUCGUGGGAAAAAAUGUUUAAAUAUCAUUUCCCCUCCCGCUCUCGUCAUGAAGUAUGAUUAAACCAGCACGAUUCGAUACAGCGCAUUUCGAUGGUUCAAAGGAGAAGGACACGGUGGCAUUUCCGAAAGAAUGUUCAUGUUUCUGCGAGUCGGUUACCCUCCUAACCAUUGCACCUCGAAAUUGCAGCCCAUCCUGUCCAAGCGCCACAUCUUCCAAUUCACAAUCCCGACGAGAAGUGGCCCUCUUCCUAACCCCACCCAAUUCAAUGAGCGCCAAGAAGCGGUUCCUCUCGCAGACCAAUAGCAGCCCACCACAUGACCCCAACCAGAGCCAAGAACUCGCCGUCCCAAUCACCAGUGUUAACCCGACCUCUCAUCCCUCCCUCCUUAAAUGACCCUCCUGGCUUUCGCUCGUGUCGUCACCUUUCGCUCUGUUUUGCCGCAAUCCACACGUUCGGGCAACAAAGCAUCUCCUCCAAAUCUCCCCAAUCCCUUGCCCACUACGAAGCGAUCUCCCCUCCACUAUCGAAGCUUCCUCCUGUUCUUUGAUUCCGAUCGAGGUUGCCUCGGUGGUGAUCGAGUAGGGGGUUCUAGGGCUGGGGUUGGGGUUGGGGUUGGGAGGGAUCGGCCGAUCGACAAUGGGGCUUCUCUUCGUGGAGUCGCUCCCUGGCCCGAAGGUCUUCAAGUGCGGGUGCUGCAAGGUCGACUCGGCGUCCCAUGACGCGAUCAUCUCCAAGGAUUUCCACGGGCGGUAUGGCCGCGCGUACCUCUUCAAGAGCGUGUGAGUGUGACUUCAAGAGCUUUACCCUCGUUCUUGUUGGAGAAAUGAUAUUAGGAUUUUUUGACCUCAAUGUGGUGUUUAUGCGCCUAUGGUAAUGGAUUCUAUGAUGGCACAUAUGUUCUUGGUCUUUAGGUUUGCUGUGAUGUAGGUCUUUUCCUUGUUGUUGGUUUCACAUUGGUAUAAGCUACGAAAUGGUGCCACUUCUUAUUAGCUUAAACUAAUGGUCUUCUGUCUAACGAGUAUUCUUGUGUCCUCUAUUUCGUUGCCAACUAGCAGUUUCUCAUAUGAUGGAGCGGUAACCAUUUAGUGGCACACACACUCCUCUCUGCCCUCAUUUCUCCAAAUCUGGCAUUGAUGGAGUGGGGACAUGGUGAGAUUGGUGCAGUAGGUGUCCGGUUAAUGGCUCUUCCCCAGCGCUUCUUAUCUUCUUUGGCCUAUUCUCUCCUUGAGCUACCACCCUAUCCAAAUCUAGCCAUGUGAGGCAAGGGUGAGCUGAUGACUAUUCGUUGAAUAGUCAAAAGUUUGAAAACAAUGAGGGGCUGGGAGGUAAAACCCUAAAACAGUGGUUUGGAGUAGGAGUGUUGGUAGCGAAGUGUUCCACCUGAAUCUUUUUGGGUCUUGGUAACCUGUUUGAGUCGAGAUUUUAUGGGUGGUACACCUGAGAAAUUAAUGGAACUCUUAACACUAGAUGUUCUAUGCUCUUUUAGUCUGCUUAACUGGUCGGUUAGAAGUUUUCUAACUUCUUUACGUAGAUUUUGCAUGUAAUGACCGUAACGACGUUAAGUUUCAAAACUUACAACUUACUAAAAAACGAUGGUAGAUACAAGAUAGAAAUUAGAAGUUGUUUAUUUCAUUGAUAUGUUUUCUCUAUUUAUAUAAGUUAGGAGGGAUGAUUUCUUGUUGGAGAAAUCUUAUCUGUUAUUAUACAUGAUACUUCUAUCAAGAAUGUCGAUCUUGGACUAAUGCAAUGAAAAUACUUUACAGGCGAGAGGCUUAGUGAGUAGUUGAUCAGUCGUAUAUACAUGAGAAAUACGUAGUUGAUAUCAGACAACUUGAUCUCGUAAGAAAUGGAAGUCGAUGUCAAUAUGUUUCAUGCGAGAGUGGAACACUGGAUUGACGCAUGGGAAGGUAACUUCGACAUUAUCACAAUAUAUCGUAGAAGUAAGAGUAGAAUCGAUGUUGAGUUUCUUGAGUAGAUUCGUAACCCAAUUGAGUUCUACAAUAAUAGUGACAAUGACACGGUAUUCAGCUUCAGUUGUAGACCGUGUGAUUAUCUUUUACUUUUUAAAACUCCAACUAAUUGGAUUAGCUCCAAAGAUAAUAUACCCCAACUUAGAUGUUUUAUCAUCAAAUUUCUUGCUCAAUCAACAUCAGUAAAAGCAUGGAGAUGAAGUGAAGAGUGUUUGCGGAAAAAGAGAUCAUGAUUAAGGGUCUCUUUAAGAUAUCACAGGAUUCAUUUGAUUGCAGACCAAUGCGUAGUAGAUAACCGCUACAUAAAUUGUGAUAGUUUAUUGAUCACAAAUGAGAUGUCUGGACGGAUGAGAGUUAAGUACUGUAAAUAAUCAAUUACUUAUCGGUAUUAAGUGAGUUUAGAAUUAUCAUCACAUUAUUUGACACAAUACCAUGAUGCAGGAAUUAGGACAGUUGUAUCGAAACAUUAAAUUAAAUUUUAUAUUUUGAUAAUAAUUAAUUUUAUGAGUCCAAGAAGUUGAGUCUUUUAAUAAUAUCAUGUCACAUGCAACAUAGUCUAUUAAUUAUCAGAGGUCUUCUGAUAAGCUGGCCAGAGAAGACUUAGAAAUGUGAAACACCGUAAGUCAACAAUCAAAAUCAUUACUUAUUUUUAACAUAAAUAUCUUUAUACAACUCUCAUCUUUUAUCUCAAUCUUUCUCCCUUACCCAAUAUAUUUAAAUUAAAUAAAUAAUAAAUCACAAACGAUUUCUUCCAUAAAUUUCUUUUUUUUUAAAUCAAAAGGAUUUUUUUAUUUUUAAUCUUUUGUUUCUUCACAUAAUCGAUCUUUUUGCAUACAAGUAUCUUAAGGAUGGAGGAACGAGAUGGCAUCACUAGGGUUUUAUAAAGUAAUAUAUUUUGAUAGAUUAUUUACGUAGUCAUAGAGGAAAAAAAAAUGGAUAUUACCACUUUUUAUUAUGUGUUAUUUAAUCUAAUAAUAUAAUACAGGAUGACACUUUGCUAUCUGGUGAUUAGAAAAAUCAUAUGCGUAAAUUAAAAAGGCCAUUAACGAAAGUGGUCAAUCUAAAUCAUGAUAAAGUCGAGUAAUCAAUCUUGAAUAUAUGAUCCGUUAGAUCAUUUAUGCAUUAUGAUAAUUAAACGAUAACCCGUAGAUACAAUACGUUUUGUGGCCUUCGUAUAAAUAUGUUGAACAAACCGAAACAAUAAUAUGAACGGUCAUUGAGGUAUGUGUUGGAUGCUAUCCAUGUAUCCCUAAUGAAAUGUGUCGUUCGAAUGGCUAGUCAAUGGGACCCGACAAAUUCUCUACAUCACCAAAAAAUAUUACUCAUUGAUAUUAAAACGAAUUUAAAGUAACUUUUUUUUUUAUUUCAUAUUAAAUAUAAUUAUUAAAUCCUUCCAUAUGCAUCGUCAUAUAUAUAUAUAUAUAUACCCAUUUAGGAAAGAAAUAAUAUUUUUGCAUCGAUUUAUCAUUUAUUUAUCUCAUUGAGAGUAGAGCCAGAGGAUGAAGAAAGAAAAAAAGAAUUCAUCUUACCACAUAUAACAAAAAAUAAUAGAUAAGAACUAAUCUAAUAUACUUAUUUUACGAACCUCAAUCAAAACUCAUUUUGAGAUAUAAAAUAUUGAGAUCAUAUAAUUUUGAGGACAUCAUCUUCAUGUGAGUUUCAGUCAUACUAUUAGAUAUAAUAUACAUGAGAUUGAAUAUCAAUACAACUCAAAAAAUUUAAAUUAUUGUAUCAACGUAAUAUACAUAUAUGUAUCAUCUGAUUCUUUUGGACUUCAUCGUAUAUGAAUGACAUUUCUUUUAUAUAUCAAGGGUUCAUCAUUCUUGGACCAUCACCAUAAUUUGCCUAUGUGCUGCAUUACUCCCAGGUGCACCUACUUAUUGCAGCUGAUAAUGUGGACUAUUUAUCUUCUCAUUAGCCAGUGUCUCUACAUGGUCCACAUGCCAGCCAAUCAGAAAAUAAACAAAGCACGUGGUUGAAACGUGACUCCAUUCAUGCAUUUGUAUUUGUUUGGCAAGGCGUGCAUCCCACGAGUUACUUUGACUUCAUAUUCUUGAUUUGGAUGAUAUAUAUAUAUAUAUAUAUAUAUAUAUAUAUAUAUAUAUAUAUAUAUAUAUAUAUAUGAUGACCGUAUUUUUCUGUAGAUGCAUUUGUAAAUGAGAUAAAUAGCUCGAGAAUGAGUUAAGAUUAUUUCUCUAUGGCCGAUACCUAACGUGUGAUUCCAUCUCAUGUGUUGGAUUCACCCAUUUUAUCUUUUUACGACCUUAAUAUGACCCACUGGUGAUAGUGAUUGCAUAUUUGGAAAAUCGAAUCUAGCCUUGUGAACAGACACAUGCUCCGAAACUUCGAUGCGUUUUGACUUAUGAGACAGAUAACUUUCUUUAUGUUGAAUCCACCGGUCGAUGAUAUAAGACAAAUAAAUGUCAUAUGGGUAUCAUCUCAUCCAGUCUUUUAGAAUUAGAUUUAGAUGGGUUCUCUUUGCAUUAUCGAUUUAAUUUAUAGAUGUUCUUGGAUCGAAGAGUGCAGAUUAUUUAUUGACGUGACGCAGUCUCUCCAGUAGAUGUAAUAUGACAAAUAAAUGUCACAUGGGUAUCAUCUCAUUCGGUCUUUUAAAAUUAGAUUUAGAUGACUUCUCUUUGCAUUAUCGAUUUAAGAAAAGGGAGAGACUGCAUCACGUCAAUAAAUAAUCUGAACUCUUAGAUCCAAGAACAUCUAUAAAUAGCCCAUCCACCACACACCUCAGCACACCAUUCCUUCUGUCUCUCUCUCCUGUUAUACGGUGAAGCUAAUUGGAGACAUGGCGAGCCACAUCGUCGGCGAGAAGGUGAGUGGAACGGUGGUGCUGAUCCGGAAGACCGGCCUAUGCUUCAACUACUGCGGCGGCACCGUCAUCGACAACGUGCUCGGCCGAAGCAUCUCCUUCCAGCUCGUCAGCGCCACCGUCGGCGACGCUAGUGAGCUGCUCUCUCUCUCUCUCUCUCUCUCCCUCCCCUCCCCUCCCCUCCCCUCCCUCCUCCUCCUCCUCUCUCUCUCUCUCUCNNNNNNNNNNNNNNNNNNNNCUCUCUCUCUCUCUCUCUCCUCCCCCCCCCCCCCCUCCUCUCUCUCAUCUUCUUCUUGUCAUCAUCGUGUUAUAGUUAGUGGAAAUGAUAGAAGCGUUGAUGUGCAGAUAAUGGGAAUCGUGGGGUCGUCGGGGAGGAGGCAUAUUUGGAACAGCACAUCACUUCGUUGCCCGCCCUGGCUGCCGGCGAAACUGCUUACCAAGUGACGUUCCACUGCGAGGAGAAGAACGGGAUUCCCGGCGCCGUUAUCGUCAAGAACAACCUCAGCUCCGAGUUCUUCCUCAAGACCUUGACUCUCGAGGACUUCCCCGGCAAGGGCCGCAUCCACUUCGUUUGCAACUCCUGGGUCUACCCGGCCGUUAAGUACAAAUACGACCGCGUCUUCUUCGCCAACACCGUCAGUAUCUACCAACUCUAUAUAUAACACAGAUGAGAUUGGCAUCUUUGAGUCUCCAAUCACCAUGCAUCGACCUGUUGCAGACGUAUCUUCCGGGAGACACACCACUGCCGCUGAAACCAUACAGGGAAGAAGAACUCUGUAACCUGAAGGGAGCUAACGUCGACGGGCAGCUGAAGGAAUGGGACCGCGUCUACCGUUACGACUACUACAACGAUCUCGGUAGCCCAGACACGUGCCAGGACUUGGCUCGGCCCAUCCUCGGAGGGACUCCGGAGCACCCUUACCCGCGCCGUGGGAGGACCGGCCGGCCACCGACAAAGAAUGGUAACACUUGAUCAUAGACGUCUUUUGUUCACAUCAUUCUCUGAUCUGAUGCCGUUCAUGUGUUUGACAUAAUAGAUCUCAAGUCGGAGAGCAGGCUGCCGCUGCUGAACCUGAACAUUUACGUGCCCCGGGAUGAGCAGUUCGGGCACCUUAAGAUGGCCGAUUUCCUCACGUAUGCCUUCAAGGGCGUCGUCAGAGUAGUGCUCCCGGUGCUGCAGGCCAUAGCGGGCGCAACCCCCAUCGAGUUCAACUCGUUCGAGGACGUGCUGAAGCUCUACGAGGGCGGCCUUCCGGUGCCCCCCAAUCCCCUGCUUGAGGAGCUCCGACAGCUAGUUCCAUUUGAGAUGAUACGGGCGCUGCAGCGCGUCGAGGGCGGCCGGGGCCUGCUCAAGCUCCCUAUGCCCCAAGUAAUCCAAGGUAAUAACCCCGAUAAUAGAUUAACUGGGUUGGAUCGGACAAGUUGAUGACCAUUUGACUCGGUUGGCAGUGGAUAAAACUGCCUGGCGAACCGACGAAGAGUUCACUCGCGAAAUGCUAGCCGGUUUGAACCCGGUGGUCAUCAGGCGUCUCGAGGAGUUCCCUCCCACGAGCAAGCUUGAUGCUUGCAAGUAUGGCGACCAUACCAGCACGAUAACUGCAGCCCACAUUGAGCACCACCUUGACGGACUCACCGUGCAUCAGGUGAGAAGCUUAUCUGGUGUGAUGCAUGUAGCGCUAGCGAAGUAGUCUUGCUUCAUCGUGCUCCUUUUCUCCCUCCUGAAGGCACUGAAGCAGAACAAGCUCUUCAUCUUGGAUCAUCAUGAUGCAUACCUCCCCUACCUCAACCGCAUCAACGCUCUCGCCGUCAAAGUAUAUGCCACCAGAACUCUGCUGUACCUGAGGCAGGACUCCACGCUAAAGCCAUUGGCGAUCGAGCUCAGCUUGCCUCACCAGGACGGAGAGCAGCAUGGCGCCGUCAGCAAGGUGUACACACCGGCUGAAAGCGGCGUGGAAGGAUCGAUCUGGCAGCUGGCGAAGGCCUACGCCGCCGUCACGGACUCCGGCUACCAUGGCCUCAUCAGCCACUGGUGCUUACAGAAUCACAGCAUGCUCUAUUCUGAGUCCCUGUUGUUGUUCGCCUGCCUGAUCACCAUUCUUUUACCUCGAUCGCAGGCUCAACACACACGCGGUGAUGGAGCCGUUCGUGAUCGCGACGCACAGACACCUGAGCGUGAUCCACCCGAUCCACAAGCUUCUGUCGCCGCACUACCGCGACACGAUGACCAUCAACGCCUUGGCCCGGCAUGCCCUCAUCCCCGCCGGUGGCAUAUUCGAGAUGACGGUCUUCCCAGGGAGGUACGCGUUGGAAUUGUCUUCCACGGUCUACAAGAGCUGGAAUUUCCGGGAGCAGGCUCUCCCCGCUGAUCUGAUCAAGCGGUACGAAUCCUCGAAAGCUCGAAUCGUGUCUCACGAUGAGUUCUACUCUGUGCAUGACCCAAAGAUUCAUCUCUGUGCAGAGGAGUUGCGGUGAAGGACCGAGACGACAGGCUUUGCCUGCUGAUCGAGGAUUACCCUUAUGCCGUGGACGGGCUUCAGAUAUGGCAUGCGAUCGAGACAUGGGUCGGAGAGUACUGUGCAAUCUACUACCCGACGGACGACGUCGUGAAAGCUGAUGCCGAGCUCCAGGCCUGGUGGAAGGAGGUCCGCGAGGUCGGCCAUGGCGACAAAAAGGACGAGCACUGGUGGCCAGCCAUGCAAACCACAUCCGAACUGAUCGAGACAUGCACCACCAUCGUCUGGAUCGGUUCUGCGCUCCACGCCGCCAUCAACUUCGGGCAGUACCCCUACGCUGGGUACCUGCCAAACCGGCCGACCAUGAGCCGGCGCUUCAUGCCGGAGCCGGGCACGCCGGAGUACGAGGAGCUGAAGAAGAACCCGGACAAGGUGUUCCUGAAGACCAUCACCAGCCAGCUGCUCACCAUGCUGGGUCUCAACACCAUCGAGAUCCUGUCGAACCACGCGUCCGACGAGGUGUACCUGGGACAACGGGACACGCCGGAAUGGACGUCGGAUGAGAGGGCGGUGAAGGCGUUCGAGCGCUUCGGGCAGCGACUCAAGGCGAUCGAGGCGGAGAUCAUGAAGAGGAACGGCGACCCAAGCUUGAAGAACCGCAAUGGCCCGG
rnacentral:lncRNA from 1 species